UACGUAGGGUGCGAGCGUUAAUCGGAAUUACUGGGCGUAAAGCGUGCGCAGGCGGUUUUGUAAGUCAGAUGUGAAAUCUCCGGGCUCAACCUGGGAAUGGCAUUUGGGACUGCAAGGCUGGAGUGCGGCAGAGGAGACUGGAAUUCCUGGUGUAGCAGUGAAAUGCGUAGAUAUCAGGAAGAACACCAGUGGCGAAGGCGGCCUUCUGGACCAAUACUGACGCUCAUGCACGAAAGCGUGGGGAGCAAACAGG
rnacentral:rRNA from 1 species